AUUUUUGACGAUUAGUAAAAACGCGAUUUUUUGUUUUCGUCGGUGUUUUCUUGUUUCACGACAUCUUACGAAAUUAAUUGGCACAAUGACGUCACGGGGUAGGUACAACAACAAUAAUGAGUGGGACCUCAUGAGGGAUGAAUACAAUAAUUCCUCAUACGACCCCCAGUAUCCCGAUGACAACAUCAGUGGCGGAGUCCAACUCGACCAUUGCAGGCUGUACAUCCGCAACAUUCCAAACGCCCUCAACGAGGACGGGAUCCGAACAGCCUUCUCCAAGUACGGGAACUUGCAUGAGGUCUACGUCAGCAAGGAUCCGGCCAAGAAAUAUGCUUUGGUCCGCUACGAGACACCGGGGGAAGCAAAAUUAGCAAUGACGAAACUCAACAACACUGAUCCGCUUAGACUCAACAUAACUAUAGCUCAUAAGAACAAAAACUCCAACUCAAGAGACAACUUCGGAAACGGACCGAGGCGAAACAACCGGGACGAUAACGCGAGCGCCAGCAGCAGAGAAAGGAGUUUCAGGAGACAUGACGAUAUGAUCAACGGUGAAGAUAUGGACGAGACUGCAAUGCCUACGCUUGACGAUGAUUUGGACCCGGAGACCAAGAUGAAGGGCAUCCAGCUGGAGCUCCAGCGGCUGAAAGUGCAGGAGCAGUCGAUGAUGCUGCAGCAGCAGCUGUUGCAGCUGGAAGCUGCUCGGAAGAAGAAUGUGGGUGUAACUCAAUCCAUCGCGUCCAACCGGUGCAUACUUCCAGACGGCAGAAUCGUGGUCCGCAAUGUUAACGAUAGCUUGCGAUCCGAAAAACACGUCACUUGGAAUUUGGAGUCGCGUGACGUCGAAGGUAGCUUCGCGGCGGGUGCCGGUGAUUCUAACGAGCGGGAAACCGUGUGCUCCUGCAAAACCAAGCUCAAGAGAUCCUGGGAUCAGGCCAGCUCCGAAGGAAGCUCCACCCCAUCCACUUGCGUCCUUUGCUCGGAAGACAGCCGAAAGGACAGGCUAAACCAAGCUAAGUCCGUAGCCAGCAAAUACACUGAAAUAAGCAAAAAGUCCGACUAUUCCAGUAGAUUUGAUAAAACAACCGAUCUGAGUAGGAAAUCAGUAGCUAGCAAAACGACAGAUGUCAAGUCCGAGUUGAGUAAAACUGACACGGUUAGUAAAAGAUCUGACGUCACCAGUAAGAAGUUAGAUGUAGCUCAUAAGAGGGGCAAGAGUGAGAUCACUUGUGAUCUUAAGUACAGCGAUUUCUACAGCGAUAGCGAAGACGAAGCUGACGAAACGAAUCGACUCAUCCAACUUCGAAACUGUGACUAUAUGGAUAUCGUAGGAGACUCUUUGAAGGUAGUUAUAGCGUUAGCCGGAUACCCCAAAUCGAAGAUGCGGUUACGACAAAUGCAGCUUUUCCAGCGCUGCCUGACUGACGUCAUAGAUAUGCAGCUGAAAGCUAAUCUUUUGAAGAAGGUGCCCGUGUUUUUAGACUAUUACCUGAAUCGAGGCGCGAUAGUUUGCAUAUGCAAGGACUUGGACACUAGAGAUUGGAUGGUGAGGAUAUCCCCAGGACUGCAAGAGAGGAUGUGCACCAAUUUGAUCCUACUCAAAGCUAAGGUGAAAAGGCUUUGUUUGGCUGUGCUGAAAAUACCUCAGUCCUGUUGGCCAGCGACCGCUCAAGACGCUUUCAAACUCCUACAAUACUUCAACCCGACUCUAAAAACCGAUCAGUGGAAAAUCUACUCUCAGAAGAACGUCGAUAGCGUCGAAUGUACUUCGUUCCUCAUCGAUCGAGUCUCAGGCGAAAUCAUUCGAGGGCCCACCUUCAAAAAUGUGAUCGAUUACAAUCAAACUGAAUUCGAACUCACUGGUUACACUGAAAUAUACUACGAGUGCUUGCUGUCUGAUCUUGAAGAUAUAUGCAGUGUCGCGUCCAGGGUUAAACUUUUGGAAGAAUUGCGCUCUGAAGAGGCUACGCCAAGGAACAACCAUAGCAGCAGAGCGGAAGUAACCCAAAAGUCUGAUGCAGUUGAAAAGGCAGAAGAAAUCGUCAUCCAACACGUAGAAGAAGUAUACGAAAACGACUCAGACGUAGAAACCGUCCCCAUUGAAGACGAAAAUAUAGAUCGCGGCGUGAAAGACGAAUUCGAAAACAACGUUCGGAAUGAAAUAUUGAAGAAAUUAAAAGACGUUAAGUACAUAAGCGACAAAGAUGAAGUUAUAGUUUGGUCGGAUGAAGCGAACAACUACAAUAGUGAUCAGGAUGAGAGAGAGAAGAUUGAGGAAAUCACAGAAGAUGACAAUAACAAUAUAACGGCUACGUCAGCUGUCGCUGUGUCGGACAAGACUGAAUCUAUAAUUGAGAGCAACGACAACCUUAUUAGUAGAAGUAGUAACCUAAAUAUCGAUAGUAAUAGAGGCAUAGCCUACCAUAGACGAACGAAUUACUUGCACGUCGAAAACGAACUCAAAGUUGCCAUAACGUUAGAAGGGUAUCCCCAAAAUAAACUUGAAGGAACCCAUAUAAGACGCUUGAAGCAUUUAUUCAAAGAAUACUUGCACAAGGACAUGAAGAUGCAAAGAUUUGCGAAUCUCAUCAUUCCAAAAUUCCAAGACAUUUACUUGUCAAAUGGAGCUGUGAUAUACAUUUGUGAUAGCUUAGAAACUAAAGAUUACUUGACUGAAGUGCUGCCAAAAUUCAUCAACUCCACCGGCUUAAAGCUAACUUUUAGGGAUAUUAAGAAUCUAGUUAGGUACACUAGGGUAGUCCUGCGUUUACCUAAAGAGCACGCUCAUGUUGAAUCUGUGGAAAUUUUGUUGAAACUGCAAGCGAAAUAUCCCGGUUUGAAGCCAGACUGUUGGAAAUACUAUUCGGACGUAGCUGGGAAGCAAAAAAGACAGUUUGGUGUCGACCCCGAAUCGCUAGAUGUGAUUAAAAGUCCAGAUUUUGAUCCUACUUACGAAGGAGAAAAGUUGAGCUUCAGAAUUAUCGAUCGGCAAAAGAGAGACGUAAGUUUCGAAGAUUCCUAUAAAGAUGAGAAUGUUGAUGAUAAUGAUGAAGGAAAACAAUUGAGGGAUAAAGUACUGAAGAUGAUGUAUGCACCUAUCGACCCAGAGAUCACGAAUACUCCUCUCACUCGAAUCAGGACCAAUCACUAUUCAGAUCUGAUCGCCGACGACUUAAAACUGUACGUUGGUCCCAGUAACUACCCAGAAAUGCGCGUGGACGAAGUUCUGUUCCAUUCCAUCAAGAGAACGUUCGAGAAUAUCGUCUGUGAUGCUUACGAGAAAGGAGUUUUCGAGCUUCCCAACUCCGUACCAACAUUCCACGAUAUGUACCUUUUCGACGGAGUGAUUUUCAUCAUCUGCCAGAACAUGAAUUCUAGAGAAUGGAUGGAAAAUUCCAUUCCUGAGGUUAACGAAAGGCUACACAUUAAUUUGAAGUCUACAGAAUUCCGCGGCGCUGUGGGAAUCAUAAGCAUGGUAGUGAAGACGGAUAAAGACACAGAUGUUGUGAUAGAACAACUACAGAAACAGAAUCCGAGACUUCGAACGAAGUACUGGAGGAAAAUCAGCACUGUACGUACAAAGACCAAACUGGAUGUAGUACUACAGAUAGACAAACUCUCCGCUCAGGUUAUAACGAAGACCGAUUUCAAUAAAUUCAUCGACGGGAACGCUGUACAGUUCAAACUCGGUCAUUUACAGUCUCUACUGAGACCCAAAGCGAGUCUUGAAGAACUAACCAAGAUGCAUUUGAAGAAAAUGAGCAACAGCAACGUAAAAGCCAAAGGGAAGAAGAAAGAAAAAGAAAUGACCAUCGAGGAAUUGAAAUCUGAUCUGAAAAGAAAAUACCCGGACUUGAAAAUCGACCAAUGGGAUGUGAUUUCUCAAAACGAAGCCGACAUAAAAGUAUGCAAGUACGAAAUCGAUGAGUCUUCCCAAAUUGUCGAGACACCUACAAAAGAAACCUAUUCUGGUCGGGAGACAGUAACAGACCCUAAUACAGCAUACAGCGAUAUGCCCUCACCGACCGGGUCGCUGGGUCGGAAGAACGUUGUAAUAAAAAUACCCUCUCGUCUACUACCUGAUAACAAGGAAGACUUAAACAUGGUCUUCGAUCUACUAGAAGACAAAAACCCCGGUCUCAACACAGAACUAUGGAAGGUAUAUACCGAUUCGUCUUACCCUGGCAACGGUCGAUUCACCCUGGUCAUAGACAGGCAGAGCGCGUCAGUAAUACAGGGCAAGAGUUUCAACCCCAAUAUUGGCGGGGAGAAACUUAAAUUCUUCUUUUAGACACCCUAUAUGAUUGUACGUCGUAAGUUGAAGUUAGUAGGUUAGCUUGUGCCUUGAGAUAGAUCGUUUCAUCCACGAAGACGCGCCCCACCAAUUUAUUGUUGGCCGAGGGAAGCGCGGGGUGAGGGCAGUUUGAUCCGAACAAUCCGAGCGUCAUUAUUGUGGUGUGCUUGUGCACUAAAGGAUAAUUAGCGUGUACCGAUAACACUCAAACUUUCGUGGAAGAAUGGUGGGGCGCGUCUUCGCGAAUGAAACGAUCUAUAUAGGACAUAGGAUAGUUUAGAUCUAAAAAUUGUGGUACAUUUUAAAUCAGGUGGUUGUAUUUUUUAAUCAAUUAUUGUGUACUUUAUCAUUGAUUGAAUAGCUGAUUAUAGAAAAAUUAAAUAUCUGUUCUAAUAUAGUUUCGAUGUAUAAGCUAGGGAUCGAUUUUAAAAUUGUUAGUACAUAGAUUAGAAAGAAUAAAAUAUUCUGAAAUAAUCAUUAAAUAUUUGAUUAGUUACUUAUGUUUCUACUUGUAGCAUGUAACGCACAUAGACUGGAAUAUAAUGAAAAUGCUUUUGUGUUGACUAGAUGUUAUAAAAUAACAUCAUUUGAUUGAGUCAAGACUCAUUUUAAAACAUUGACAUAUUUUAUGUACUGUAAUUUGGUAAUGACAUCAUUUACUAAUAAUUCUAAGACACAAAUUCUCUAAAAAACCUUUUUAUUUUCGUCCUGAAUACGGGAUUGGUUUUCAACUGUAGAUUUAACUCAGUGUCUGAGGUAUGGAAGGUUGUUUUUGUAACGUCAAACGUCAGCGAGACUUCAGAUUUCCUUUUUUAAGCUGUGUCAGUGUUAAAAAACUCAAUGAAGAAUGAAUUUUUUUUAUGCAUAACGAGGCAGGUGUUUUUGACCACAAUCGCACCUGAUGUUAAGUGGGAUGCAGUCUAGGAUGGUACAUAUCUGCCCUGCCUAUUCACUAUUUAAAUUAUCACCGGGCAAACUUCAAAUUCCACUGUCCACCGUGUCUCUUUGUACACUCGAUAUUGGCAAAACCAGUGUGCUUCAAAUACGCACCAAUGAAGCAUUACACAGAAUAAUAAUAAGCUGUGUCACGUCAUAUUAUGUCAGUGUCACCCCUCCCGUGCCGCUCCCAUACCUCAGGCUAAAACCCGGUCUGUUAGCACGUAGAAUUUUGUCCAAUGACCCCUAGCUACCCAUCCUUAUCGCUCGCGCGUAAUUAUAUUGCUGUCGCGACUGUGCGACUGGCACCCGCAGUGAGAGUGCGAGCCCGAUAGCAACAUAAUUACGCGCGAGCGAUAAGGAUGGGUAGCUUGGGGUCAUUGGACAAAAUUCUACGUGCUCACAGAUCAGACUAUAGACCUAUAGAGACCUAUAGUCUUGGAAUUAUUACUUGAUAAUGGUUUGAAGUUCCAAUUUCUCCAAUUUUUGUGACCAUGACAUUCCUGGAUACGACUAUUAUUAUUAUUAUAAUAAUUACUUUUUAGACUUAACUUUACAAUAAUUUUAGGGUAAGUAUUUUUAUGUCGUAAAACGUGCAUUUGCUAGUGUUUAAUUUGUUUUUGUUAUAAUAACGCAGGUACAGUCAGCGUCUAAUAGUUCGUGACUCCCAAAGUAGGCAAUAAGUUCGCAACACGUCUUUGUUACAUUGGAAUAAGGUUGUGUUGUCAACUUUUUGGCCACUUUGGGUGUCGCGAACUAUUUGGCGCUGACUGUACUAUUUCAAUAGGGAUGUUUCCUGGGUCAAAAAGCAAGAGUUUUAAUUAGUCCGUCAGUUAACUUAUCAAAAAAUACUCUACACGUAUUUUUCACUUUUUCAAACUAAUGAAAAUUUAAAGAGAUAAAGCGCGCCAAAGUUCAUAAGUAGAGGCCCGUGACGUCAAUGCUUGCAUAAAAGUGCCGCACGUUGUGACGUCGUGCGGAACUUCAACGCACUAUAACUAUGUAAUUAUUUGUUAGAUUGACAAAUAAAAAUAUAUGUGUCCAAUAUUUUUUGAUAUUAAACAUGACGGACUAAAAAAAUUUUUUUAGGAAACUAGCCUUUAUUUUAAUAGCUUUUUGUAAUCUAUGUUUAAGGGGAAAAGAAAAAAAUAUUGCUAACUUAAUUUUAAUACAAAAUAAACUAUGAAUACUCUACUAUCACAUGGAAUUGAUUGCAACAAAAAUUAAAUAUAAUUACAUACCUAUUAAUAAAAUGUCAAAGAGAAAACAUGUAUUUUUGGUCUUUAUUUGCAAGUGCAAUGAUUAAAUUGAAAUUAACAGUUUUUUUAAUGUAAUCUGUUUUUAUUUGUAAUUAGGUAGUUUAAUUUUUUUUAAAUAAUAGUAAUUACAGAUAUAACAGUUUUUUUAAUGUAAUCUGUUUUUUUUUUUGUAAUUAAGUAGUUUAUUUUUUUUUAAAUAAUAGUAAUUACAGAUUUUACAGUUUUUUUUUUAAGUUAAUAAAGGUAUUAUUGUUACCAGUUUAUUUUGUAAACAAAUACCCAAUUUCAUUUUACUCUUUGAUUUUCAGAACCUUCACCUUUUCAAGGUCUGUGUACGGUAGCAUUGCAACCGAAGAGGUUCUCUUAAAGCUAUGUUCGAACGUAAUGACAGCAAUCUUCUUUGGCAUUGCCACUAUGACCGUGUGACCCUCCUCAGCCUCCAUUACAUCGACCUGGAUUAUGGGACACAUACUGAGAACUGGGCAGUCGUAACGUUCCAUAAAGUUGUACUGUUUCACCGGUUCCGACUUAAAAAUAUCGAAUUCACCUCCACAGUAUGGAGCGUAGUAAAUACGAAGCACUCCCCAGUUUGAUCCAACGAAGUAAACAUCACCGUAAGCUCGGAUAGUGACUAUAUCUCGCAGAGGGCCUUCUGGGAUGCUGUGGUUAAAUACGUACAUCCAUUGGAAAUAGAUCCUCCAGUCUAAGUUCUCUAAAAAGUUGAAAUCUCUCAACACAUGCAGUACGUUUGAGCUCGCUCCGAGUGACUGGUUAUACACUAACUUACCAGCUUGUACGGAGUAAAUAUUCUUCUCAAACGUCAACACAUUCAGUCUAUCGGUGUAGCCCAAGCACAUGACUCCUUCUUCGGACUGUUUAAUAAGAUCACACGAGAUGUGCGUCUUUUCAAAAUUGCAAACGAAGAUUUCAUCAUCCAAAGUCACGAAGUACAUCUCCCGUUCCAAUAGUAAGUAAGCUUUGACAUUGUCAUACGUGACGUUGGCAUGAAACUGUGGACAUUGUAUGGUUUUUUGGACAACGAAUAGCUGUAAAUGGUAACUGGAGAUGACUAUUGUGUUUGUGUUUUCAGAAAAUCUUAAAUAAUCACCAGUGAUCGGGCUGCGUUUGGCCAAUUCUAGCGUUUCGAUGUUGUAGUACACGAUGGCUCCUCUCGUGUGGACUGCGAGAAUCCCUUCCUUCAGUAUUGUGAAGUCGCGAAUUUCAUCACGUAGUUUUGCAGCUGAUGCGAACUCAUCUCUCACUUCUCUCGCUGAACUCAAUUUAGGCCAUAAAGAAAGAGACCUAUAGAUGUGAUACCAGAGUAGACCACACCUGGAUUUGUAGCGAGCAGUUUUGUAAACUCUGCUGAAGUCUUUCUUGCAAUAAUCCAUCCAUAUCGCAUCGCUUUUCGUCAAACUGUCGACAAUUACUCUGAACCGCUGACAUAUCUGGCGACAUUUCGUGAGGUCUUUAGCUGGGAGAUACGUGAAGAUUAACAGCAAAAGUUCAGUUGGAAGUUUAGUAAAGUAGCAAGCCAUCGAGCUCUCACCGGCUGCCAGCCACUUUCGGUAAUUAUGAUACUGGCUGUUAUACGCCGCGUCGAGCCACCGCCUGUAGUUCACGUACUGGUAAUGCUGUGUGCAGUUAAUGCCGCACAGCUCAAACAAAUCUCAUAAUAUGCAUCGCCUCUUCGUUCGGCUGUUUCCAAAAUCUGGUAACAACAAUACACAAUUUGACAUACUGCGUAGAUCACAGAAAAUCGGGCGAGCGACCGUCCGUCCGAGGCUGA